UACGUAGGGUGCGAGCGUUGUCCGGAAUUAUUGGGCGUAAAGGGCUCGUAGGCGGUUUGUCGCGUCGGGAGUGAAAAUCCAGGGCUUAACUCUGGACUGGCUUUCGAUACGGGCAGACUAGAGGUAUGCAGGGGAGAACGGAAUUCCUGGUGUAGCGGUGAAAUGCGCAGAUAUCAGGAGGAACACCGGUGGCGAAGGCGGUUCUCUGGGUCGACCCUGACGCUGAGGCGCGAAAGCGUGGGGAGCGAACGGG
rnacentral:rRNA from 1 species